UGGGCGUGUAGCUCAGGUGGUAGAGCACUUGACUUUUAAUCAAGUUGUCCGGGGUUCGAAUCCCCGCACGCUCAG
rnacentral:tRNA from 4 species